rnacentral:rRNA from 1 species
UGGGAACGCGAAGAACCUUACCUAGACUUGACAUCUCCUGAAUUACUCUGUAAUGGAGGAAGCCACUUCGGUGGCAGGAAGACAGGUGGUGCAUGGUUGUCGUCAGCUCGUGUCGUGAGGUGUUGGGUUAAGUCCCGCAACGAGCGCAACCCUUAUUGUUAGUUGCUACCAUUUAGUUGAGCACUCUAGCGAGACUGCCCGGGUUAACCGGGAGGAAGGUGGGAUGACGUCAAAUCAUCAUGCCCCUUAUGUCUAGGGCUACACACGUGCUACAAUGGUCGGUACAAUGAGAUGCAACCUCGCGAGAGUGAGCAAAACUAUAAAACCGAUCUCAGUUCGGAUUGUAGGCUGAAACUCGCCUACAUGAAGCUGGAGUUGCUAGUAAUCGCGAAUCAGAAUGUCGCGGUGAAUAC